rnacentral:rRNA from 1 species
GUCAAGUCAUCAUGGCCCUUAUGGGCUGGGCUACACACGUGCUACAAUGGCGGUGACAAUGGGCAGCCACUUGGCGACAAGGAGCUAAUCCCAAAAACCUUCUCUCAGUUCAGAUUGCAGUCUGCAACUCGACUGCAUGAAGCUGGAAUCGCUAGUAAUCGUAUAUCAGCAAUGAUACGGUGAAUACGUUCCCGGACCUU